rnacentral:rRNA from 1 species
GGUUAAGCGACUAAGCGUACACGGUGGAUGCCCUGGCAGUCAGAGGCGAUGAAGGGCGUGCUAAUCUGCGAUAAGCGCCGGUAAGGUGAUAUGAACCGUUAUAACCGGCGAUACCCGAAUGGGGAAACCCAGUGUGACUCGUCACACUAUCAUUAACUGAAUCCAUAGGUUAAUGAGGCGAACCGGGGGAACUGAAACAUCUAAGUACCCCGAGGAAAAGAAAUCAACCGAGAUUCCCCCAGUAGCGGCGAGCGAACGGGGAGGAGCCCAGAGCCUGAAUCAGCAUGUGUGUUAGUGGAAGCGUCUGGAAAGGCGCGCGAUACAGGGUGACAGCCCCGUACACAAAAGCGCAUGUGCUGUGAGCUCGAUGAGUAGGGCGGGACACGUGGUAUCCUGUCUGAAUAUGGGGGGACCAUCCUCCAAGGCUAAAUACUCCUGACUGACCGAUAGUGAACCAGUACCGUGAGGGAAAGGCGAAAAGAACCCCGGCGAGGGGAGUGAAAAAGAACCUGAAACCGUGUACGUACAAGCAGUGGGAGCACAGGUUUACCUGUGUGACUGCGUACCUUUUGUAUAAUGGGUCAGCGACUUAUAUUCUGUAGCAAGGUUAACCGUAUAGGGGAGCCGUAGGGAAACCGAGUCUUAACCGGGCGUUAAGUUGCAGGGUAUAGACCCGAAACCCGGUGAUCUAGCCAUGGGCAGGUUGAAGGUUGGGUAACACUAACUGGAGGACCGAACCGACUAAUGUUGAAAAAUUAGCGGAUGACCUGUGGCUGGGGGUGAAAGGCCAAUCAAACCGGGAGAUAGCUGGUUCUCCCCGAAAGCUAUUUAGGUAGCGCCUCGUGAAUUCAUCUCCGGGGGUAGAGCACUGUUUCGGCUAGGGGGCCAUCCCGGCUUACCAACCCGAUGCAAACUGCGAAUACCGGAGAAUGUUAUCACGGGAGACACACGGCGGGUGCUAACGUCCGUCGUGAAGAGGGAAACAACCCAGACCGCCAGCUAAGGUCCCAAAGUCAUGGUUAAGUGGGAAACGAUGUGGGAAGGCCCAGACAGCCAGGAUGUUGGCUUAGAAGCAGCCAUCAUUUAAAGAAAGCGUAAUAGCUCACUGGUCGAGUCGGCCUGCGCGGAAGAUGUAACGGGGCUAAACCAUGCACCGAAGCUGCGGCAGCGAACGUAUCACUUAAAGCGAUUCAGCGGGUUACGAUUGACGGAGCGAAGCGACGUCAAAGCGUAUACAAAGUCGAGUCGGUUUAAGGAUACGUUCGUUGGGUAGGGGAGCGUUCUGUAAGCCUGUGAAGGUGGCCUGUGAGGGUUGCUGGAGGUAUCAGAAGUGCGAAUGCUGACAUAAGUAACGAUAAAGCGGGUGAAAAGCCCGCUCGCCGGAAGACCAAGGGUUCCUGUCCAACGUUAAUCGGGGCAGGGUGAGUCGACCCCUAAGGCGAGGCCGAAAGGCGUAGUCGAUGGGAAACGGGUUAAUAUUCCCGUACUUGGUGUUACUGCGAAGGGGGGACGGAGAAGGCUAUGUUGGCCGGGCGACGGUUGUCCCGGUUUAAGCGUGUAGGUGUGUGUUCCAGGUAAAUCCGGUUCACUUUAACACUGAGGCGUGACGACGAGGCACUACGGUGCUGAAGCAACAAAUGCCCUGCUUCCAGGAAAAGCCUCUAAGCAUCAGGUAACAUCAAAUCGUACCCCAAACCGACACAGGUGGUCAGGUAGAGAAUACCAAGGCGCUUGAGAGAACUCGGGUGAAGGAACUAGGCAAAAUGGUGCCGUAACUUCGGGAGAAGGCACGCUGAUAUGUAGGUGAAGCGGUUUACCCGUGGAGCUGAAAUCAGUCGAAGAUACCAGCUGGCUGCAACUGUUUAUUAAAAACACAGCACUGUGCAAACACGAAAGUGGACGUAUACGGUGUGACGCCUGCCCGGUGCCGGAAGGUUAAUUGAUGGGGUCAGCGCAAGCGAAGCUCCUGAUCGAAGCCCCGGUAAACGGCGGCCGUAACUAUAACGGUCCUAAGGUAGCGAAAUUCCUUGUCGGGUAAGUUCCGACCUGCACGAAUGGCGUAAUGAUGGCCAGGCUGUCUCCACCCGAGACUCAGUGAAAUUGAACUCGCUGUGAAGAUGCAGUGUACCCGCGGCAAGACGGAAAGACCCCGUGAACCUUUACUAUAGCUUGACACUGAACAUUGAGCCUUGAUGUGUAGGAUAGGUGGGAGGCUUUGAAGCGUGGACGCCAGUCUGCGUGGAGCCAACCUUGAAAUACCACCCUUUAAUGUUUGAUGUUCUAACGUGGACCCGUAAUCCGGGUUGCGGACAGUGUCUGGUGGGUAGUUUGACUGGGGCGGUCUCCUCCUAAAGAGUAACGGAGGAGCACGAAGGUUGGCUAAUCCUGGUCGGACAUCAGGAGGUUAGUGCAAUGGCAUAAGCCAGCUUGACUGCGAGCGUGACGGCGCGAGCAGGUGCGAAAGCAGGUCAUAGUGAUCCGGUGGUUCUGAAUGGAAGGGCCAUCGCUCAACGGAUAAAAGGUACUCCGGGGAUAACAGGCUGAUACCGCCCAAGAGUUCAUAUCGACGGCGGUGUUUGGCACCUCGAUGUCGGCUCAUCACAUCCUGGGGCUGAAGUAGGUCCCAAGGGUAUGGCUGUUCGCCAUUUAAAGUGGUACGCGAGCUGGGUUUAGAACGUCGUGAGACAGUUCGGUCCCUAUCUGCCGUGGGCGCUGGAGAACUGAGGGGGGCUGCUCCUAGUACGAGAGGACCGGAGUGGACGCAUCACUGGUGUUCGGGUUGUCAUGCCAAUGGCACUGCCCGGUAGCUAAAUGCGGAAGAGAUAAGUGCUGAAAGCAUCUAAGCACGAAACUUGCCCCGAGAUGAGUUCUCCCUGAGACUUUAGGUCUCCUGAAGGAACGUUGAAGACGACGACGUUGAUAGGCCGGGUGUGUAAGCGCAGCGAUGCGUUGAGCUAACCGGUACUAAUGAACCGUGAGGCUUAACCUU